GACAGAGGGUGCAAACGCUGCUCGGAUUUACUGGGCGUAAAGCGCGUGUAGGCGGGCGACUAAGUCGGAUGUGAAAUCCCUGGGCUCAACCUAGGAACUGCAUUCGAAACUGGUCACCUAGAGUGAUGGAGAGGAAAGCGGAAUUCCCGGUGUAGAGGUGAAAUUCGUAGAUAUCGGGAGGAACACCAGUGGCGAAGGCGGCUUUCUGGACAUUUACUGACGCUGAGACGCGAAAGCGUGGGGAGCAAACAGG
rnacentral:rRNA from 1 species